ensembl:lncRNA
AUAACAUUUUUGACAUGCGUUUUUCUGGAUUUUUUUGUUGUUAUUCUGUCUCUCAUUGUUCAAAUAAACCUACCAUUAAAAUUAUAGACUGAUCAUUUUUUUGUCAGUGGGCAAACAUACAAAAUCAGCAGGGGAUCAAAUACUUUUUUCCCUCACUGUAUGUAAUAGAAUGGGGAAUGGGAAGCACGCUUCAAUUACCGGUUGAGGAAAAAAAAAAAUAAUUGUAGCUAUUUUUAUUCAACCUCCGUUUGCAUUUGUUGAAUUGUUACCCAAUGAUUGGGUUUAUAAAAGCACGUUUAGUCCAGCAGCAACGAAUGAGCUGUUUGAGUAGCUGUAGCUCUCGCGCUGUCUGACAGAUUUUCCACUCAUAGGCUCUCUGUCCAUGUGCUGUGCACGUGUGAUAAACAUAACUACUAACGAAAAUACACGCGCGCCAAUUUAAUUCCACUAAAUUAUGCAAAUGAACCUAUGGACUGAUAAGCAUGACCAAUCAAAAUGUAUUUACAUUGACAGGUAUUUCCAUCGAUGAACAGGCUAAAAAAACGGCAUUUCGCAAUCAGACUUUUUUCAUCUCCCGGGCAAUUGCCGGUGGCAGUUUUUUAUUUAUCGGCUUUCCAUUUUUUGGGCGCCCCAAAGCUGGCUAUUACCUGCUAACGGAAACCCUGGUGUGUGUGUGUUUCUGUGUGUUUGUGUUUGUUACCUUCCAAUCAGGCAAUUCUAGUACUGUAUUUUGUCCUAUUGACUUAUCCAACUUGGAGCCAGGGACUCUCCAAAAAUCAUAGGGUCUGUUUUUGUAGUUUUUCCAAGUAUGACACUUCAUCAACUUUUUAUAAAACCUUUUUUUUUUUUUUCUUCACUCUCUUGCCAUCUCUCGUUCUCUAUUUCCAUCUCUCUUUUCUCUCUCCUCUUCUCCACUAUUCAGGUGGAGUUCCAGGAUGAGUCACAGUUGUUACUGAAGCAAACAGAGAUCCACUCGCUGGAGCAGGACCUGCCCAAAAGGGUCUGCGCCCGCCUGGCAAUACCAACCCAGGAAGGUGUUAGGUCAGGAGAUGAACCACAGGCAGCCAAGCGGCCUCGCCUCCCUGCUUCUCACCCCCCACCUCAAGCCCCCAUGGAUUCAACGCAGCAGCACCUCGGAUGCCACCCCCCAGCUACAGCCCCAGCACCUCACAGUAUUAUACCCACCACCCCCAGCCAUGCGCCUGCUCCCACCAACACUGACAUCAGUGCCCCUACCCUCACACAGGCUCUGGCAAUACCCAUCCCCGAGCCCACCCUUAACCCAAUGCCCGCUCUCCCUAACCCCCGUCUCGCUGACCAUCUCCCAGCCGCCCCCCUGCUGCCCCUGUCUCCAGACAUGCCCUCCCAGCACCAGGGCGAAGUCUACACGCCUAGCUCCAGCUACGUAUCCUACAUGGAGACUCUGCUCAAUGCACAUUUCCCCCCUCAGGAAGAGGGCCCCGGUCCCCUGUUUUAAUGAGACACACCACUCAGCAGUGCUAGCUAGUCUCACAGGAGCUAAGCUAAUGCUAUGAAAGCUAACUUAAUCUAUGCUAACGGGAGCUAGCGGAGACGAAGCUAACGGAGGCUAGCUAAUGGACAGUAGCAUCCGCUACACAGGAGCUGAAAACAGGGCGCAGAGGAAGCACUCUUCAGUUGCAUGUCUUUUUUUCAUUCGAAUUUUCUCACUGUGGUGAUGGGCAGCUCCUGGAACUGCAGCGGAAGAGGAGGCUUCUUUCCCACCUCCGUAUCUUUUCCAUUGUGCAAGACACAAGGUAUAGACAUGAAUAGACUCUCGUGAGCAUCAACGCCGUACCUCUCUACAUCCGUUUAUUUACCCAUUUCCCACACAUUUACAGAAAGGAGAAACCCGUCAUAUGGGCACGUGACGUCAGCAGUCUACGUGCAUCAGCUUUUUGAGUUGUGCUAUAAAACCAGCUACAAGUCUUUUUUUAAAGAAGCCUAACCAACAGCUAACAAUAAAACGGAAAAUCAAAUGGACAGAAUAUUUGUGUACAGUUUCAAUAAUGUAUUUUUUUUUUUUUUUUUGCGAGAGGUCCUGGGAAAAGGGUGGGGGUGUAUUACGGGGGUUUCACAAGUAUUUAAAUGUUUUAGUCACAUAUUGAUAUAAAAUAUUUGUACAAAGAAAAACAUGUUCAAUGCAACCAUGGUAGUUGCACUUUACCGUAAACUUGUCUGCAGAACCAUUGAAUUUUGUGAAGAUGUGUUGCAGUAGUUACGAAUGUGACCUUGUGUCGACUAAACCCAAAAUGGUCAUACACAAAUGGCCGUAUACAAACGGCUCACGUUUUCCAACUCCAGAACUUCUUCUCUGGGCUUGUUUUGUAGCAUUCUUCGUAAAAUGUCAAAUCAAUGUACUAUUCAAUUUUGUCUGUCUGUAUGACUAUUCUUUCUAUGUUUAUUUUGUGAAUAUAUUAACUAACCUCACGAGGUGACAGAGAAAAUGGUUUGAUUAUCAAAUUGUGAUCCUUAUUUUUUGAGAUUUUAGAACCAUAAAUUCAGUUUCUACUCCGGUGAAGAAAUAAGGAAUUUUCAAAUGGUGUGUUGACUCUUUAUAUAGGUGCUGUAAGGUGUCCUGGACUACUGAGGAAGCAUGUUUCUCAUACCCUUAGUCACAUUGUACAUAGUGCAAGCCUUGUGUAUGUGAAUCAAAUCUGUCAAUGUCAUACUAGCCAUUUCGUUUAACUGUUAAAGAGGCUUUAUUUCAUAGGAAUUAAACAGAGUUGCAAUGAUUACUAGCUU